UACGAAGGGUGCAAGCGUUACUCGGAAUUACUGGGCGUAAAGCGUGCGUAGGUGGUCUGUUAAGUCUGAUGUGAAAGCCCUGGGCUCAACCUGGGAAUUGCAUUGGAUACUGGCAGGCUAGAGUGCGGUAGAGGAUGGCGGAAUUCCCGGCUGUAGCAGUGAAAUGCGUAGAGAUCGGGAGGAACAUCUGUGGCGAAGGCGGCCAUCUGGACCAACACUGACGCUCAUGCACGAAAGCGUGGGGAGCAAACAGGAUAGAAACCCG
rnacentral:rRNA from 1 species